GACGAACGCUGGCGGCGUGCCUAAUACAUGCAAGUCGAGCGCAGGAAACCGUCUGAACCCUUCGGGGGGACGACGGUGGAAUGAGCGGCGGACGGGUGAGUAACACAUAAAGAACCUGCCCACGGGUCUGGGAUAACCACGAGAAAUCGGGGCUAAUACCGGACGGGUCAUCGGACCGCAUGGUCCGAGGAUGAAAGGCGCUCCGGCGUCGCCCGUGGAUGGCUUUGCGGUGCAUUAGCUAGUUGGUGGGGUAACGGCCCACCAAGGCGACGAUGCAUAGCCGACCUGAGAGGGUGAUCGGCCACACUGGGACUGGGACACGGCCCAGACUCCUACGGGAGGCAGCAGUAGGGAAUCUUCCACAAUGGACGAAAGUCUGAUGGAGCAACGCCGCGUGAACGAUGAAGGCCCUCGGGUCGUAAAGUUCUGUUGUAAGGGAAGAACAAGUGCCGCAGGCAAUGGCGGCACCUUGACGGUACCUUGCGAGAAAGCCACGGCUAACUACGUGCCAGCCGCCGCCGUAA
rnacentral:rRNA from 1 species